AAAUAACAAUACAGGGCAGAUGUCUUGUAAUUGGAAUGAUGGCGACGUAAAAGCUCGCCAGAGUACCAAUUGGAGGGCAAGUCUGGUGCCAGCAGCCGCGGUAAUUCCAGCUCCAAUAGCGUAUAUUAAACUUGUUGCAGUUAAAAAGCUCGUAGUUGAACUUUAGCCAUUGGUGUCAUUGCGCGUGUCGCCUUGAGUCCGUUGGCUUAUCUUUUUACUUUGAGAAAAUUAGAGUGUUUCAAGCAGACUUUUGUCUUGAAUACUUCAGCAUGGAAUAAUAGAGUAGGACCUUGGUUCUAUUUUGUUGGUUUCUGAACCUGGGUAAUGGUUAAUAGGAACGGUUGGGGGCAUUCGUAUUUA
rnacentral:rRNA from 1 species